CUGUGGGCAUUUCAUUGUGUUUUCGUGUGGGCAUUGUGUUGGAGCUUUCAUUGGGUUAGGUGUGGCAUUGGGUUAGUGUGAGCAUUGGGUUGUGUGUGAGCAUUGGGUUAGUGUGGCAUUGGGUUAUGUGGACAUUGGUUCGUGUGGGCAUUGGGUUAGUGUGGGCAUUUCAUUGGGUUAGUGUGGGCAUUGGGUUAGUGUGGGCAUUGGGUUAGUGUGAGCAUUGG
rnacentral:lncRNA from 1 species